AUGAAUGGCAUGGAGGAGCAGCGUGAGACCCUCAAGCGCAAGCUUCUGGCGAUCUUGGAUGUCAUCCAAGAUGCGGAGGAGAAAGGAGCUUCCCGACCUGGAGUGAGUGCUUGGCUCGAAGCACUCAAGAAGGUGGCCUAUGAGGCGAACGAUGCCUUCGACGAGUUUAAGUAUGAGGUGCUCCGGCGUGAAGCCAAGCAGAAGGGACACUACAAGAAGCUUGGCUUUGACAUCGUAAGCAUCUUCCCUGCUCACAACCCAAUUGUAUUUCGUUACAAGAUGAGUAAGAAGCUGUGCAGAAUUGUGCGCAAAAUUGAGGGCCUUGUCAGAGAAAUACAUGACUUUAGAUUCAACCAAACUCAGCAAGCACCACCAUCCAAGCACUGGCGCAACACAGAUUCCAUAGUACUUGACUCUGAGAAGGACAUUGUCAGCAGGUCCAGAGAUGAAGAGAAGAAGAAGAUUGUUAGUAUAUUGGUUGAUCAAGCUAGUGACAGGGACCUCAUUGUCCUACCCAUUGUUGGAAUGGGUGGGUUGGGCAAGACCACCUUUGCUCAGCUUGUCUACAAUGACCCUGAAAUCAAGGAGCAUUUCCAGCUCCAGAGGUGGUGUUGUGUGUCAGAUGAUUUUGACGUUGCUAAGAUUGCAAGCAAUAUCUGUCAGACCAAUGAGAUCAAUCGUGAAAAGGCACUGCAGAACCUUCAAAAGGAAGUAAGUGGGAAGAGAUACCUCAUUGUGUUGGAUGAUGUAUGGAAUGAAGAUGCUGAUAAGUGGGAAAAACUCAAGACCUACCUGAAGCACGGUGCCAAGGGCAGUGCAAUACUGACGACCACUCGUAAAGCACAAGUAGCACAAAUUAUGAAGAUGUGUAUUGAUGACAGCCACAAUCUUGGAAAUCUGGGUAAAGUAUUUCUGAUGGAAAUAUUUGAGAAUAGAGCAUUUUGUUUGCAAAAGCCAAAGGCUGCUGAGCUAAGCGAUGUGGUUGAAAAGAUUCUGGACAGAUGUGGAAGCUCUCCUUUAGCUGCCAAAGCCUUUGGAUCUAUGUUGAGUAACAAGACUCGCAUGAAAGAAUGGACAGACAUACUAGCCAAAAGCAACACUUGCAAUGAGGACACAAAAACUUUGCCUAUACUCAAGCUCAGCUAUGAUGACUUGCCAUUACACAUGAAACACUGCUUUGCUUUUUGUGCAAUAUUUCCCAAAGAUUAUGAUAUUGAUGUGGAAAUUCUAGUCCGGCUAUGGAUGGCACAUGAUUUCAUACCAGUAAAGGAUGGUGAGAAUCUUGAAAAGGUAGGCAGAGAAAUUUUUGACGAGCUAACUUGGCGAUCAUUCUUUCAAGAGGUCAAGCUAACCCCCCGAGGAACGUACGCAAAAUCCUGGGGGGAGAUCCGUUCCAGAACAGUAUGCAGGAUACAUGAUCUUAUGCAUGACAUUGCCUUGUCUGUUAUGGGAAAAGAUUGUCUUACUAUAGUUGACAGGCCUAAUGAAAAGGAGUUGUUGUCAGCAGGCCCUACUCGCCACCUGUUCUCAUCAUAUGAGAAUAUCCGGACUCUUUUGGAUGAUUAUCUGAAGAAACACUCUCCCACUCUUCAGACACUGUUGUAUAUAUAUAGCUUCACUAAUGGCUCGACACCACAUUUGUCGAAGCACAAUCAUCUGUGA
rnacentral:rRNA from 1 species